GGAAGGGAAUAAACUCCCAUGGAUGGUAAACUCCAUGAUCUUAUUUAAAAUGCAUAUGGACACAGUCGGUCGUACGUGUGGUUGGUGUGGAGCAGUGAGGGGUGACGUGGAAAUUAAAUUAAUUAUAGAAAAUGAAAAAAAAAAUAAUAAUAAUAAUUAAAUGGUUGGCAAUAGAGGAGGGGGGAGGGUCACGUGACAUGGAGCACUGGCGGAUGGGUGAUUUUGUCGUGGGGAAUUCAUUCUCCCAAAAAAUAUCAGCAAGUGGCCGACACCCUCAUCCAACCCUUCCACAUCACACACUUCACACUCUCAUAUUAUAAUAUUUUUAUUAUUAUUUAAUCACGUUAUUCUCACUGAAUUAAUUAAAUAUUU